CUACGUGCCAGCAGCCGCGGUAAUACGUAUGUCACAAGCGUUAUCCGGAUUUAUUGGGCGUAAAGCGCGUCUAGGUGGUUAUGUAAGUCUGAUGUGAAAAUGCAGGGCUCAACUCUGUAUUGCGUUGGAAACUGUGUAACUAGAGUACUGGAGAGGUAAGCGGAACUACAAGUGUAGAGGUGAAAUUCGUAGAUAUUUGUAGGAAUGCCGAUGGGGAAGCCAGCUUACUGGACAGAUACUGACGCUAAAGCGCGAAAGCGUGGGUAGCAAACAGGAUUAGAUACCCUGGUAGUCCACGCCGUAAACGAUGAUUACUGGGUGUGGGCAGGAAGACUGUCUGUGCCGAAGCGAAUGCGAUAAGUAAUCCGCCUGGGGAGUACGGCCGCAAGGCUGAAACUCAAAGGAAUUGACGGGGACCCGCACAAGCGGUGGAGCAUGUGGUUUAAUUCGACGCAACGCGAGGAACCUUACCAGAUCUUGACAUCCCG
rnacentral:rRNA from 1 species